UGCCCUGUCGUCUAAUGGUAGGACGCCUGGCUCUGGACCAGGUAGUCGUGGUUCGAAUCCACGCGGGGCAG
rnacentral:tRNA from 1 species